rnacentral:rRNA from 1 species
AUGGAAGCAAGAACGGCCAUGGUUGGCGAUGAGGACCGCAUCGGCGCCCUCCCGGACGGGCUCCUCCAGCAGGUGCUGUCCUUCCUGCCCUUUCCCGACUCCGUGCGGACGUGCGUGCUCGCUACCUGCUGGCGCAUGCUGUGGAAGUCCGCGCCUUCCCUCCCGCGACUUCGUAUGCUUGCUUACUCUUGUUCCUCAUUGCUGUCUGCUACAUUUCUUGUACUAUAA